rnacentral:misc_RNA from 1 species
UUUCCGUAGGUGAACCUGCGGAAGGAUCAUUGUCACACAUCCUAAUGGAUGCUUGUGCCAACAAGCAGACCCAGCGAACCAUUCUCCUAUCACUUGAGGGGCUGCAUCGCGAGGUGCAGCUGUCGGCGGUCGGGCCCUUGCUUCAGGGGCCGGAGUCCUUGCUGGGUUCACCGUUGCGGGUGAGCACCGGCCGUCCGACGGGGGCCGCUCUUGGGCCUCGCACACGGGAGAGUGCGGGGGCGGCGUUUCCCACUUCAGCUGUCCCAUCCGGGGCAGCUGCGCAACCAACCAAAACACUAUGCAAAAACCGACUGAAGACCGAUCCUUUGCGGGGCGCCUUCGGGAGCCCUGCCUCGGAUCAAAAACAAACUAAAGACAACUCUCAACAACGGAUAUCUUGGCUCUC